GGAUUGGCUUUACUCAGCAGCUAUGUAUAGUGCUGGCAGAGGGCGUUCCUUGGGAACUCUCACUUUGAGUCAGGGAGUGCAUCUGUCCUGUAAUUUUCCAAGGGGAGAGAUGAAAAUCUGAGUUUGGAGAGUAGCUAGAGCUGAUUCUGGAGCCGCGCCUGUGCCUUUCUGUUCUUCCUCCUGAAAUCUGUUCUCCCUCCUCCAGGUGGCUUCCUGUUUGAAGGGCUCUCCGAUGAGGAGGAUGACUUUCACCCAGUAAGUGGCCCGGCUGCGUGCCAGUUGGGGGAGAUGGUGCCGGGGAUGCAGCCCUCCCUGGGACCCGGCAUGCCCCCUCAGGGAGGUGGUCCGAGGCCCUUUGGUGGCCCAGCUGUGUCCUGCUCUUGCUUUCUGAACCUGGCGGCUUGGGGAGUGUCCCCAAGAACGGUUCCUGGAGCGGGCUGGGGUUCAUCUGGGCUGUCCCAGGGCUGCUCCCUGAUCUGGGUGCCUCCCUUGUCCAGAGUGCCAGGUCCACGCCCUCGAGCAGCACGUCCAGCUCCCGCCCAGCUUCCCUGGGGUACAGUGGAGCCGCCGGACCCCGGCCCAUCACUCAGAGCGAGCUGGCCACGGCCCUGGCCCUGGCCAGCACUCCGGAGAGCAGCUCUCACACGCCAACUCCUGGCACCCAGGGCCAUUCCUCUGGGACCUCCCCAAUGUCCUCAGGCGUCCAGUCAGGGACGCCCAUCACCAACGAUCUGUUCAGCCAAGCCCUACAGCAUGCGCUGCAGGCCUCCGGGCAGCCCAGCCUUCAGGUCAGUCUUCCCACUCCUGGUGUCCACGCGGCUCUUUGUCACCUUGGACACUGAGCUUUUUGUGCUCUGUGGAGGCCCUUCCCACUUGGCCUGCUUUGCUCCAGGACAGCUGGGCCGUGACAGUGUGACAGGAGAGGAUGCCCGCAGCAAGGGCGGUUGUCCCUGUGGCUUCCACUCCUGCACCCAGUGACCACCGCCUGACCCCAGGGACCACCUGGCUAGGAUGCUUGUGGCAGUUGUGGUCGAGGAGUCGCUCAUGCGUUCUGUGAGUGUUGAUGAGCUGCUGAGCAGGUAUAGACCAGAUCCAGGUCCAACUUCUGGGGAAGAGACGAGUGGUCCUCAUCCCUGCCAUGUCAUGGAGGGGCGCCAGGCAGCUCAGGC
rnacentral:lncRNA from 1 species